GCCGCCUUUAAGUAGGGUCGCGAAGGAAGGCGCUGCCUCGCGUUGGAGGAGCUUGCUCUGAGCUGCUGCCACCUGCUGGGCUGGAGCUGGAGCUGCGAAUUCGGAGUCCCGGUUCCCUGUGCCACCUGGCGAGCUCAGCAAACUAAAAGUCUCUUUGUCUUCAUUGUUUCCGGCACUGAUCUGAGCACAUCAUAAGCACAAGACCUGGACACCUUUACAAUAAGAGGUAGCAUCUGUCUGGAACUCUAUCUUGACUCUCACUGGUGCUUUUCCUUUGGUUGAUGCAAAGCUUUUGAAUCCUUUAGGGAGAUGUCAUUGUGCCCUUGUUGAGCUGCUUGAGGCAGAAGGCACAGACGAAGUGCUCGGGGUGGAACUUCUUGGCCAUGGCAGUGAUGCAGCGGCCGGUGAUGGGCUUCUGGCAGCCAGAACACAGCGAGCCGCGCCGCUCGUGGUAGUGCACCUCACAGUAGGGCUGCCCGUCGUGCUCGAAGAAGCUGCCGUUCACGAAUGGCGUGAAGCAUUCCUGCCAGGCGGAGAGAGGGGCUCAGGGAGCUGCCCCUCGGGCUAGAGCCGCACCCCGUGUGAUGGGGCCGAGGUGGGCAUAGUCGGCACGCUCAGAGUGACUCCUACUUGCUAGGCAUUUCCCAUGUGCCGUGUUGUCCUAAAUGCUCAUUUUUCAUUUUUAUUUUAUUAAAUAAAUUUUUUUGUAGAUA